GAUGAACGCUGGCGGCGUGCCUAAUACAUGCAAGUCGAGCGAACAGACGAGGAGCUUGCUCCUAUUACGUUAGCGGCGGACGGGUGAGUAACACGUAGGUAACCUACCUUUAAGACUGGGAUAACUUCGGGAAACCGAAGCUAAUACCGGAUAAUAUUUCGAACCGCAUGGUUCGAUAGUGGAAGAUGGAUUUGCUAUCACUAAUAGAUGGACCUGCGUCGUAUUAGUAAGUUGGUAAGGUAACGGCUUACCAAGGCAACGAUACGUAGCCGACCUGAGAGGGUGAUCGGCCACACUGGAACUGAGACACGGUCCAGCCUCCUACGGGAGGCAGCAGUAGGGAAUCUUCCGCAAUGGGCGAAAGCCUGACGGAGCAACGCCGCGUGAGUGAUGAAGGUCUUCGGAUCGUAAAGCUCUGUUAUUAGGGAAGAACAAACGUGUAAGUAACUGUGCACGUCUUGACGGUACCUAAUCAGAAAGCCACGGCUAACUACGUG
rnacentral:rRNA from 1 species